GGCCGCAUAGCGCAGUCGGUAGCGCGUUCGGUGAUGCGAGAGUCUGGCCCUGAGUUCGAACCCACCAGAGGUAUCCG